UAAAGUUGUAAAGGAAGCCGAGCAGGACAACCCUCGAAACCAUGGCGGACAAAACCCCAAGCAAAGGAAGCAAUCGAAGAGCAAGGAGGAUUUUUCGAAAGCUUUUAGCAUGGAUAUCUAGAAUUAGAUCGGCGAUCGGCGAUCGGCAAUACAGGAGCCGCCGAGAGGAAGACAGUGACGGUGGCGCCAUCACCGUCGGCGACACCACUCGCGACAGUUCACAGAAGCUAUUCAUCUCCUAAUUGCUUCCAUAGCUGCUCUCCUCGUUGUUCACUGGCCAUUUGUCGCUGCAAAUCUAGAAAGACGACUGGUGGAUAUAGUGAAGACAUGAUACCAAGGCUGGCAUAUUCUUAUGUGAAUGAGAGCUCCUACUGAAGGUUCUUGUGACCAUAUUGCUUCGGUAUAGUCUAUGGAUGAGGUGAAGAUAAGUUUAUGUAUACAACUCUUGAACUACAGAGGAAAUGCAGAGUAUAUUAUCUGUUGUAAGGUAUACAGGCUGAAGGUUGUAUGAGAUAUUAAGAGGAAAGCAAAAAUGAAGAUAUUAGCUUUUCAAUCAAUACAUGCCACCAGUGCCAUGCUCUCCAAGCUCCUCAGGUGUUUGAGUCCUCGAAGAUUCAAAAUACUACAAGAAAAAGUCAUGACUAUCAAUUCUCAUCGAGGGUAAAAAAUGAUAUUCAUUGUCUAGUGAUGAUGUAAAUUCCUUUUGCAUGAAACCGUCAUAUUGAUGAAUAAACUACUAUAUUGCUUUAUAUUUUUCACUUAAAAUAUUUUUCAGUUAUGUAUACAGUUCAAUUAAUAUGUAGACGGUUGGUUGUACAUGAAUAUUGUUUGAUAUUAUUUGACAAAUAUUCGUUACAA